AAUCAACGCUGGCGGCGUGCCUAACACAUGCAAGUCGAACGAGAAAGUGGUAGCAAUACCAUGAGUAAAGUGGCGCACGGGUGAGUAACACGUGACUAACCUACUCUGGAGUGGGGGAUAACUGAGGGAAACCUUAGCUAAUACCGCAUAACACCUACGGGUCAAAGGAGCAAUUCGCUUUGGGAGGGGGUCGCGGCCGAUUAGUUAGUUGGCGGGGUAAUGGCCCACCAAGACGAUGAUCGGUAUCCGGCCUGAGAGGGCGCACGGACA
rnacentral:rRNA from 1 species